rnacentral:rRNA from 1 species
AUUGAACGCUGGCGGCAGGCUUAACACAUGCAAGUCGAGCGGCAGCGGGAAAGUAGCUUGCUACUUUUGCCGGCGAGCGGCGGACGGGUGAGUAAUGCCUGGGAAAUUGCCCAGUCGAGGGGGAUAACAGUUGGAAACGACUGCUAAUACCGCAUACGCCCUACGGGGGAAAGCAGGGGACCUUCGGGCCUUGCGCGAUUGGAUAUGCCCAGGUGGGAUUAGCUAGUUGGUGAGGUAAUGGCUCACCAAGGCGACGAUCCCUAGCUGGUCUGAGAGGAUGAUCAGCCACACUGGAACUGAGACACGGGCCAGACUCCUACGGGAGGCAGCAGUGGGGAAUAUUACACAAUGGGGGAAACCCUGAUGCAGCCAUGCCGCGUGUGUGAAGAAGGCCUUCGGGUUGUAAAGCACUUUCAGCGAGGAGGAAAGGUUGAUGCCUAAUACGUAUCAACUGUGACGUUACUCGCAGAAGAAGCACCGGCUAACUCCGUGCCAGCCGCCGCCGUAAUAC